rnacentral:rRNA from 1 species
CGCCUCUAGAUAUCUUCUUAUUAGAGGUCCAUUCUGCCCUAUGCCUAUUUAGGUAAAUGGCCGCGGUAACCUGACCGUGCUAAGGUAGCAUAAUCAUUUGCCAUUUAAUUGGUGGCUAGUAUGAAUGAAUAUACGAGAGCAUAUCUGUCUCCUGUUUAAUUAUAAAAAUUGACCUUCAAGUGAAGAGACUUGAAUUUCUCAAAAAGACGAAAAGACCCUAUAGAGCUUUAUUUGAUAUUAAACUCUUUUUAUUUUAAAAUUUAGUUGGGGCAACUAGAGGCCUUCUAAAACACCUCUAAAGAACUUAUUAGAUCCAGUAUACUGAUUAAAAGAAAAAGCUACCUUAGGGAUAACAGGCUAAUCCUGUUUUAGAGACCAUAUUGACAACAGGGCUUGGCACCUCGAUGUUGGCUCAAGGCAACUCCCCGAUGCAGCAGUCAGGGCGUGUAGGUUUGUUCACCCUUUAAUUCCUU